AAUAUGAUUUUUUAGUGCAGUCUAGUGUGAAUACUUGUUUGUGUCACUUUUAAUGACCUGUAAAUUUAUGAAGUAUUUCAGGUAGCACUUCAGUCUUGUUUUAAAUACCCAUCGGGUCGUACAACAACCCGUGAAUUCAGACAAUGACCAGUUUUUGUCCGGAUUCCUGAGUCUUUAGUUAGCAAUACACAGUUUGAAGUUAAGUUUCGCAUUAUGUUAAUGGUGAAUUGUUUUAAAAAUAAAAGUUUUUUGUACAAUAAUAUUGAUUUUUAGAUAGUUAAAGAAUAAUAUAGCCUUCCAAGUGGGUUCAUAUGAGCAUUUAGAUUGUCCUUAGCAUGUUUUAUAGGCUAUUUUUUUCUGUUUUACAGUCCAUAUUUUCCUAUCCGUACUAAAGGUCAAGAAAUGAUUGUAGUGUUUUCCAAAAAGAUUUGACACUCGAUCAUUUUAAUUUAAUAAUAUGGAAAAACGAUCAGAAAUGAAAAUUGGAACUCUUUAUAGAUAAAUGUCUAUGGUUUUAGGAAAGGUAUCACUCUAAUUGGUUGGAGUUUCCUUUGAACCAAAUUUUGAAGACCUUUGUGACAUUUUCACAUCUGUUUUUGCAAUAUUUUGUAUGAAAUUAAUGCAGAUUGUUGUCAUGGUUUACCAAAAAGAGAUUAUAUUUCACCAUUUUAACUUUUUGAAAUCUAAUUCAUGGAUGAUUCUCUUUCCAUAAAUAUAUACACGCAUAGCACAAAUAUUAAACCUUAUUUUGUAGAAAGGAAGGAACGAUUAUGAGUGUCAAUUUUAAGUGUUUUUCCUAACUGUACUGCUG
rnacentral:lncRNA from 1 species